UGUAGAUAGGAGACCUCUUUACUCUCAUCAAUAGUGAUGUUGUGAUUGUCGUUAUUCUAUUCCGAUGGAUUGACUGGUUAUAAUCUUGACGCCCGAAAUAAAAGAAGAGUGGAAGUUGUCUUGAAAGUCAAUCUUGACGAAGAGAUGAAAGUCGGUUCUCAGUUCCCGAAUCAGCUGUUGUUUGUGAUCGCGCUGGUAGGAAUGCUGCUUUUGUGCCCGGCGAUGAUUUGGGUUUGGAAUGGCCCCUUCUUCUAUGCCCGCUAUGCCGUACCGGGGAUAGCUCUGAGUUGCCCGUCGAAGUUCUCUGACUCGUCCUUCGCUCUUCGACGCAGGAUUCGAAAUCGGCUGUUUGGCGAGGUGAUGUUGACUGACCCGUAAAAAAAAGAAAAAAAGAAAGAAUGGAAGUGUUGUGACAUUUGGUGGCGAGCCUUGAUGCACACCAUCGAUUGGACCUGGACCCCUGUACAUAAAGCCUUUUAGGGAUUCCCUCCCUGCCUCCUUCGUCUCACUGAGCUACCAAUCAUUCCCAAUCUCCAGCCCGAAAUAAAAUAGAAUCGAUAGCCUGGCAGCUAAUAAAAGAGUUGAAGGUUCGUCAAAGCCAUUCCUUGAGAUUGGAUUAGAGAAGCGUAGUACGUAUAAUCGAAACUCAUUGCAAGUUGUGAUAGCGGCCAAAGGAAGUGAUUCAUUUAUUUACCCACUUUCUUUCUCUAAACUACUACGUAUGGUAUGGAAUGCUUUCACGAUAUGAAGUAGUU
rnacentral:misc_RNA from 1 species